UUUUUUUUUUUUUUUUUUGUGGAAUUAACUUUCUGAAGGUAUUAUGUUUUAAUUUGAAUAUGAAAUGCAACUAAGCCAUUGUUUUGGCCAUUCUCUGUCUGUUCUUAUUCGGUUUUUUUGCUACUGGCUGUUAAUCCCAAAUGUUUUUUGAUUUAUGGUCAUUUAUUUCAAAAUGAUGGACAUCUGAGAGUUUGUGUCGUGAGAUUGAAUGUAGGAAUUCCUUUUAAUUCCUAGAGGUCAUUGUUUUCAUUUUGGUCAUUAUUGUAAGAUAAAACACAAUAGAUUUUAAGUGCUCAGAUUUCUAGAGCUGCCUGUGGCAUAUGAGGAUGCAAGUGAGAGAGUUGAUAUCGUUGUGCUUGAUCUUGUGAUUUUUCAGUUGACAAAAAGGAGCUAAUAGCUCGUAGGGUGUUCAAGUAUUCCUGAUAUGAUAAAACCUGGUGGCAAAAUGAAUUAAUUGCCUAAAUUUUGGUUUUUGGAUGGUUUUUGUGAGUAAGAUCCUGAAUUCUGCAUUCGAUUUUGUUUGGCGAAGUUUAUACACUCAUGGUACAAGGGAGAGGCAAGAGAGAAGCGGAGAAGGGGGGAGAGGCUGGAAGAGAGGCGGAGAGGGAGAGCCCUAGUUCAGCUUUUGGUCUGGUUUUAAGAACGUUGUAUCUUAUCUAGAAGCUUUAGUCAGUAAUCUGAAGGGAAGAUGGUAUUUUUAACCGAGUAGAAUUUACCAAUUUGUUGGAAUGUUCCCCCAAUCUUUCCAUUUUUGUGGGGAUUGCAUGUAUUAUCAAGACUAGAGGAAAUGGUUUUAUUGGGUACAUUACAGAGAGCAUAUAAUCAAGACAACGAGAUGAUUUAAUUUAUAUAACAGUUAUGAUGAUCAGGAUUGGGAUUGCCAAAAUAGAUUUGUGUCGGAUCUGGGCAAUUGAUUUGAGAUUUUCAAUUCAUUUUAGUUAUAAACCAUCCAUCAUCAGUAUCAUAUCUUUUUCUUAAGAAGCAGAGAUGGAAGUGUCAUAUGCAAAAGAAAUAUGUUUACUUUUCCAUCAAAUAAACACUUCUCUAGAUUCUAAUUUUGUAUGUGUGAUGGGCAAUUUGUCUGCCUGUUUGCUAAUGAGCAGGUGUAAUAAACGCAGCGUUGAAUUGGAGAUGAAC
rnacentral:misc_RNA from 1 species